rnacentral:rRNA from 1 species
UACGUAGGGCGCAAGCGUUAUCCGGAAUUAUUGGGCGUAAAGAGCUCGUAGGCGGUUUGUCGCGUCUGCCGUGAAAGUCCGGGGCUCAACUCCGGAUCUGCGGUGGGUACGGGCAGACUAGAGUGAUGUAGGGGAGACUGGAAUUCCUGGUGUAGCGGUGAAAUGCGCAGAUAUCAGGAGGAACACCGAUGCGAAGGCAGGUCUCUGGGCAUUAACUGACGCUGAGGAGCGAAAGCAUGGGGAGCGAACAGG